rnacentral:lncRNA from 1 species
GGAACAAUGUAUAUUGUUGUUUUAUAUUUAAAUAAUUUCUGUAAAUAAGAUAUUAGUUUUAGUUAACAUAGAGUAAGUAGUAUUAGCACUAAGAUUCAAAUUUCUUGUAAUAGUUUGUUCAACAUUUAUUGUACUGAAUUUAUUGUAAAACCCCCAAACUACCCUCACCCAAACUUUCCUGAUAAGAAUUCCUUAGAGUAGAUUCAGUAAAUUGGUAACUAUAAUAUAAAUAUGUGACCUUGGGAAAGUCACACCAAAAAAAGGGGACGAUUGUGGAAAGGAAACAAGACUGACAGUUUGUGGGGGAAGGGCCCAACUGGGAGUGGCAGUUGGAUCUUGUGACUAGCACUUCCUUCCUGCUGGGUGUGGCAGUUGGGUCUUGUGACUAGCACUUUCUUCUGGCUGUGGUAGGUCUUGCUUCCGGGUAUUGGAGGAGAGAGGAGCUCAUUCAGCCCAGUCUGGAGUGGCAUGCUCUUCUUGGUUCAGCCCAAAGACACAGGCUUCUGAAGGGCUCCCAGCAUCUGAAGCCUAUCAUCAGCCAGAACAGUCUUGACACUCUGAAAAUGCUCCUGGAGAACACAAGGGAAUCCUCAGCUGCUGCUAACAUUUCACUCUUGGAGGAGCCAAUUAAGAAAAAAGAUUUUUGGGUACUUCUGUCAAGGAGCAGAACCUUCAUGACCAUGAGGGAAUAGCUCUCAGGCAAGUUUCUAAUUUUUCCUCAGGAGCUCUUUUUUUAAACACUUACCUUCUGUCUCAGUGUCAAUUCCAAGGCAGAAGAGCAACAAGGGCUAGCCAAUCAUGGUCAAGUGACUUGCCCAGGGUCACACAGCUAGGAAGUGUCUGAGACCAGAUUUGCACCCAGGUUCUCCUCUAUCCAGUGUGCUGUCUGGCUGCCCUGCUCAGGGACUCUUUAUUUUAUUUAUUGUAGAUGUCUAUGGUAAAGUUCUUAUUUUCAUAAUAUUAGAAUAUAAGAGGUUACUUGCCAAAUAGGAUUGGAUUAAGUGAGUUUUUACUCAUCUACCAAUCAGGAUACUGGGAAUUUCAAGAUCCAAUAGGGAGAAUUGCUAAGAAAAGAGCUAAACUGCCAGCACAACUUUAGAUGUGUUAACUGGCUUCCUUUAGGUCCCAGAUAAAAUCCCUUCUUUUUUUAAUUAAAAAAAAUUUUAAUCAAUUACAUGUAAUAACAAAUGUCCAGUUAUAUGAUUCAAACUG